UCCCCUGUAGCUCAGUUGGUAAAGCUUGGUAUUUGCUAUGCCAAGGUUGUGGGGUUGAUUCCCACAGAUGGCC